CCUACGGGCGGCAGCAGUGUGGAAUAUUGGUCAAUGGGCGCGAGCCUGAACCAGCCAAGUCGCGUGAGGGAGGAUGGCCCUACGGGUUGUAAACCUCUUUUGCCGGGGAGCAACGGGCGUCACGUGUGGCGCCACUGAGAGUACCCGGAGAAAAAGCAUCGGCUAACUCCGUGCCAGCAGCGGCGGUAAUACGGAGGAUGCGAGCGGUAUCCGGAUUUAUUGGGUUGAAAGGGUGCGUAGGCGGAUCGUUAAGUCAGUGGUCAAAUUGAGGGGCUCAACCCCUUCCCGCCAUUGAAACUGGCGUUCUUGAGUGGGAGAGAAGUAUGCGGAAUGCGUGGUGUGGCGGUGAAAUGCAUAGAUAUCACGCAGAACCCCGAUUGCGAAGGCAGCAUGCCGGCUUCCGACUGACGCUGAAGCACGAAAGCGUGGGGAUCGAACAGGAUUAGAUACCCCAGUAGUC
rnacentral:rRNA from 1 species